rnacentral:lncRNA from 1 species
GUCCAAAUUCCUUCAAGCCUUUUUUUGUAACAGUAAAAUGAUUAGUGAAAGGGAAGAGACUUCCAGUACCUCGAGUAGAACACAGAAAAACAAAGAAAUAGAAGAACAGCAAAUGCAGCACAAAACAACAGAGGAUAUUAGGGAGCCAGCAGUCCUUGUGGGCCUCUCUCUCUUUGGCAUGAUGACAUCAAGCUUGGUGGCAGUGCACUGCAGAGUUUAUACCCCAAAGAGAUAUUCAUGAAAAAGACCUGUUCAAGAUUAUACCUAGCUGUGCUCUUUGUGGUGGCAAAAAAUUGGAAAAUGAAGGGAUGCCUUCCCAUUGGGGAAUAGCUGAACAAAUUGUGGUAUCUGUUGGUGACGAAUACUCUUCUGUCCAAAGGAAUAAUAAACUGGAGGAAUUCCGUGUGUACUGGAAUGAC